UGGGGUGUAGCCAAGCUGGUAAGGCAACGGGUUUUGAUCCCGUGAUGCGCAGGUUCGAGUCCUGCCACCCCAG
rnacentral:tRNA from 1 species